rnacentral:rRNA from 1 species
UACGUAGGGGGCAAGCGUUGUCCGGAUUUAUUGGGCGUAAAGGGCGCGUAGGCGGCCAGCACAAGUCAGUUGUGAAAUCUCCGAGCUUAACUCGGAAAGGUCAACUGAUACUGUGCGGCUAGAGUGCGGAAGGGGCAACUGGAAUUCUUGGUGUAGCGGUGAAAUGCGUAGAUAUCAAGAGGAACACCUGCGGCGAAGGCGGGUUGCUGGGCCGAUACUGACGCUGAGGAGCGAAAGCGUGGGGAGCGAACAGG